rnacentral:rRNA from 1 species
UACGUAGGGUGCAAGCGUUGUCCGGAAUUAUUGGGCGUAAAGAGCUCGUAGGCGGUCUGUCACGUCUGCUGUGAAAACUCGGGGCUUAACCCCGGGCCUGCAGUGGGUACGGGCAGACUAGAGUGCGGUAGGGGAGACUGGAAUUCCUGGUGUAGCGGUGAAAUGCGCAGAUAUCAGGAGGAACACCGGUGGCGAAGGCGGGUCUCUGGGCCGUAACUGACGCUGAGGAGCGAAAGCGUGGGGAGCGAACAGG